rnacentral:rRNA from 1 species
CGCCUUUUGAAUUACACAUAUAAAAGGUCCUGCCUGCCCAGUGACAUUGUUCAACGGCCGCGGUAUCAUGACCGUGCAAAGGUAGCGUAAUCACUUGUCUUUUAAAUAAAGACUAGUAUGAACGGCAAAACGAGAGCUCAACUGUCUCACUAGAUUAGUCAGUGAAAUUAAUUUUUCCGUGCAGAAGCGGAAAUGUACAUAUAAGACGAGAAGACCCUGUGGAGCUUUAAACCAACACUAAUGCAUACAAGCAGCGUAGAAUACGUUUUAGGUUGGGGCGACCAUAAGGAAAAACAAACCCUUAAGACAUUAACUAGAAGGACACUUCAAAUAAAUAGUUAACACUAAAAUUGACCCAUAAUUGAUCAACGAACCAAGUUACCCCAGGGAUAACAGCGCAAUCCACUCAUAGAGCCCAUAUCGACGAGGGGGUUUACGACCUCGAUGUUGGAUCAGGACCACCUAAUAGUGCAACAACUAUUAAAGGUUCGUUUGUUCAACGAUUAAAGUCCU